rnacentral:rRNA from 1 species
ACAGUUGGGGGCAUCAGUAUUCUGAAGCGAGAGGUGAAAUUCUUGGACCUUCGGAAGACUAACAACUGCGAAAGCAUUUGCCUAGGAUGUUCUCUUUAAUCAAGAACGAAAGUUGGGGGAUCGAAGACGAUCAGAUACCGUCGUAGUCUCAACUAUAAACUAUGCCAGCUAGGGAUUGGUGGACGUUUAUUUACGACUCCAUCAGCACCUUAUGAGAAAUCAAAGCAUUUGGGUUCCGGGGGGAGUAUGGUCGCAAGGCUGAAACUUAAAGGAAUUGACGGGAGGGCACCACCAGGAGUGGAGCCUGUGGCUUAAUUUGACUCAACACGGGAAAACUUACCAGGUCCGGACAUAGUAAGGAUUGACAGAUUGAUAGCUCUUUCUUGAUUCUAUGGGUGGUGGUGCAUG